UGAGGAAAUGAAUAUCCACACAUAGAAUAUGUCGCAAAUUCAUUUUUCAGAUGUCCAGGGUGAUGUUUAAAGAAAAAUAAUGGUACUGAAACAUAAGAGCCGACUGAAAACAGCUACGGCAGGGGCUUUGCCAAAACACAUCUGCUGUAUGAAACUGGAAAACUUUGUCAUAUUCACAGUUCUCCAAUGAGAACUCUACAUGACUGGUACUGUGACACAAAAGAUGGUGCACUUUCAAAUGUCUACUAUGGUGAAAGACAGUUCAUGACACGUGGUGAUCUGAUAACUAUUUCAACAAGUUUUCAGCCAUUUUCCUGUUUCUAACAUCUUCUCAACAUGGCUUUCAGAAACAUUUACUAUGAUUUAUUCUUUACCUUGGAUAUUUCUAACUCUUCCAAAGCAGCCUACCUUUCAUAUUUGGGAUGUAUAGAACUGAAGUUAUAAUAUAUACAAAAAUAAAAGAAUUUCCUGCUUUGACAGUUUUAUUUUUGUCAUGUUCUUUUGCUUUCUCUGAGACCCUGUGAUUUUUUUAAAGUCUUGUAUGUUUAUUUUACUUGUAUUUGAAUAAAAAGCAGGGGAAAUCACUGCUUCAGUUUUACAUGUUUAUCAGAAGUGCUGUUAUU
rnacentral:lncRNA from 1 species